rnacentral:lncRNA from 1 species
CUCCUGGUUCCCCAGUUCCGACAUUGGGGCACAAUGGUCAGUUAUAUGGACCCCAACAUUACCAGUUUCCAGCUACAUAUUACCAGCCACCCACAGCCACCAGUGCACCAGACACUACAAGCCAAACCCCUAGUUCUAAAAGGGAGGUUUCUACAUCUACUGCUGCCAGCCUCCCAUCUAUUCCAGUGGAUACAACAAAAUCUGAUUCAAAUGAAACAGUUAAGGCAAGCACAAAUGGCAACAAUGGAUCAGCAAAACUAAAACCAAGCCAACAGAACUCAUCGUUGAAUUCAAAUGGCUCACUUGGUAAAGGUGCGUUUCCUGGUGGGCAUCCUUCUUCCGGCUAUCAGGAUCCAAGAUUUGGUUUUGAUGGUAUGUGGUCGCCUGUUCCGUGGUAUGAUAGCCUGAUGUUUCCUGAUGGACAACAGAGACCAACAACAGCUAAUACUGUCUCUUCUACAAGAAAUCAGAACCUUCGCCCCCUUCCUCAGCUCAUGGUAUGUGGGAUCCAAAUUAAGAGUUAACAUUGUCUUACCUGUUUAUUGAUCUCAUUGUUGUUAAUUAAGAGUUAAUACUGUCUUCUCUGUCAAUUGAAAUAUUGGUACAUUUUGCUGAGGUAACACCUUAUGUGCGAGGAUACAUGUUAAUGACUUUAUGCAUGCUUUAUGUAACAACCUAAACAUAGAAAUUACAAACUUGCUUGCCGAGAGCAGGGAGCUAUUACUGAACCUUUACACUCUUUAUGAACGUCUGGUUGGAAUAACUCUUCUAGUUCUCUGGUCUGGCUUUCUUGCUGGACACUGUUUUACCGUCAUACACUUACUUUUUUUUGCCAGGGAAUGCAUGCCCCAAGACCAGCAGGUGCUGGAAUGGUGAACAAGAUGUAUCCUAACCAUCGAAUGUAUGGUCAACAUGCAAAUGGUUUCAGAAGUGGUCAGAGUUUUUACUCAAGCAUGUAUGACUCCAGAAUGAAUGGAAGAUGGGGGAUGUCUGUGGAUAGCAAGUAUAAGCCGAGGGGCCGGAGCAAUGGAUUCUAUGGUUAUGGUAACGAGAACUUGGAUGGGCUGAGUGAGCUCAAUAAAGGACCAAGGUCUGGUCGAUUCAGAAACCAGAAGGGGUUUGGACCUACUAUUACUCUUGCAGUGAGGGGACAGAGCCUUCCUGCAAAUGUAAAUAUUCAGGAUUCUGCUGUGAUUCCUGAAAGAGAUCAAUACAAUAAGUCAGACUUCCCUGAAACAUACUCGGAGGCUAAGUUUUUCAUCAUUAAAUCAUACAGUGAGGAUGAUAUUCACAAGAGUAUCAAAUAUAAUGUCUGGGCUAGCACUCCUCAUGGGAAC